rnacentral:lncRNA from 1 species
AUUUUAUUACCGUCAGCUUAAUGUACAAUUUUAAAACGACACAGUCGCAACCCACUUCUCAAACAUUUUGAAUUACCACGGGAAUUAAAACAUAGAAGUGUGUGACCUAGAAUCCCUCAAACAAGGAAAACAACUCAUCCGAGCCGAGUAUGGAAGAAUCUUUACUUUUUAGGGGAGUAUCUUCAAACUAUCUUUUUUAAAUAGUAGAAAUCUGCUUUUAAAUCUCAGCCAACAACAAGCAGAUUUUAAAUCUAUUUUACAACCCUAAUAAAAACCAACCUCUUAGCUGGUGGACCCAGUCUGUAGCUGCAAAUACAAAGACGUGAUUUUUGAAAAGCUGCCCACAAGAGCAAGUGAUUAAUCAUUAAAAUCCACUAAAAUCAAUUGUGAACAGCCACUGCCUCAGGGGUGACCGUGGGGCCCCCUAAGAUGUGGCACUGUGAUCUAUAUUUAGCUAUCUAAACACGUUUACAGAACUGGCAACAACGUGUUCGCAGGACUUCCUGCGAACCACCCGGCAGAUAACGCGACACUAGUUAAAGGGUGUUAAUUUUCCGGUCCUCGGAGGGCAGGCCACGGUAGCCGAUCUCUGCGUGCCCAGAACUGCCUGCAGGAUCAGGCAGCAGCAGCGGCGGCGGCGGCCACCGAGGCUACCAGCCGCCCGCAGCAGGGGCGGGAGCGCGCGCCUCCCGCACCCGCGCCACCCGGCUCCACUCGGGCCGCAGCUGCAAAAGCAGCGACAGCGCGCGCUCCCGCGCGUCCUCCAGAUCACCUUCAAGGGGGCGGGAAGAAUGGCCCAGGGCAGGCCCACCUAGUGACAAUAAAAACUCGCCAAUAAAAACUCGAACUCUCCCUCGGGUACCGCCCACAAGCUGCCGCAGGCGCCCAAUCCCCGCCGCGUUAACAGUCUUCACCCGGGGUGUCCAGAACUUGAGGGCGGGUCCAUUAGGAACUAAAUUAAGAAACUGAGUCCUGGAGUGGUAAGAAGGUGGGGAGGUUAGGCGGGGACUGCGCCGGCGGAACGCCCGCUCCCCCGCCCGCCCCGGCUCCCCGGGGACGGCCGCAGCGGGCCGGGUGUCGCGAUCGUGAACCGACGGUCGUCCCACCAAACAAGAAGGCUGGAUUUGAGGCGGUCGCACUCCCCCGGGCUUCCUGAAAUAAAAAGCAGCGCCCCGUUCGCAGCCCAUCGGCAACAAGCAGCACCCGUCUGCCCAGCCGCCUCCCCCGGCGGCGCCCGGCCCCGCGGCGACUAGCCUACCGCACCUGCGGCUACCCCCAGUCCCGGCAACCACCCCGCCCUAGCCAGGCCGCACCAGCCGCGCCGCGGUUCCGGGCCGUAGUGCCAGGAGGCGCGCGCGCCCUCCCUCAGGGCUGUAGCUACCAAGCGGGGGAGGAAGACCCCCCAGGUGAACCCUGGAGGCCCCUCGCCUCAGAAAGGGGCCCUGUAGCCCAGCUGCAGCCUCUCCGCAGACCGCCAGUCUGGCUCUGAGAGGCCGGCCGCCGCUGGCUGCCCUCCCGCAGACACCCCGGUGGUCAGGACCGCCGUCGCCCCUCCGCCCCCGAGGACUCAGACUCUGACCGGUUCCUCGCCUUUCGGCCGGUCCCGGAGCUGUCACCCCCGGUACCUCUCGGCGAACACUGGAAGCAGCCAGCAGUGGCUAACCCCGCGGUCCCUCAGCGGCGGGCGGCGCAGCGCACUCUCCAGCGCCGGCGUCUCCUCCAGCCACCAGUCUCUGCCGCAGCUCACAACAAAGGAAACAUGUGACCGUCCGGGCCAAAACACUGAGCGUCAGCGAACCCUGGCCAAUCCGGGUGGGCGUCCUCCGCCCCGGGGAACCCUGGGAGAUGUAGUUCACGCUUCCCGGUGGCCUCCGGGGCCACCUGGGGCUCCCGCCGUGGGGUGGGUGUCGGGUGCCCAAGAGGACGAGACCCACCCAAAGGGCUGCUGACUCAAAAACACCUUGUUUUAAGCAGAGACAGUUAAAAAAAUGCCUCUUGUGUAAGGAGCCGAGUGAGAAGCCAGAGUCGUUUCUUUCCUUCCCUCAAAGGCCCCUGCCACGUCCCAAGGAAAAAGCCCGCGAUCAGCCCUUCGACUUUAAAGCUUGGGUCGAAGCUUAGAGAGCUUUUUAUUUGACCCUUUGAUAGACAAUCGGAAAUCAGGCCUGAGGGCCUGCAGGGUGGACGAGACUAAAACCCCAGUCCUUAGAAGGAGCAAGGAAAACCACCUCUUUUUUUUUGAUAAAGCUGUUACUGUCCCUGGUAUCAAAUCCUAGGUUACCUUUUUAUUUUAAACGCACAUGCACGUCGACCAAAGCUGUCACAAAUCCCUGUUUUCCAAGGUAGAUGGAGUUCCUAAAGGACAUUGUGUUGUCGUUUUGUGUCUGCAAGCUUUUUGUUUUGUUUCGUUUUGAGACAGAGUUUCGCUCUGCCACUCAGGGUGGAGUGCAGUGGCGCAAUCUCGGCCCACUGCAACCUCUGCCUCCCGGGUUCAGGCGAUUCUCCCGCCUUAGCCUCCCGAGUAGCUGAGACUACAGGUGCCCGCCACCACGCCCAGGUAAUGUUUUGUAUUUUUAGUAGAGGCUGUGUUAGCCAGGCUGGUCUCGAACUUCUGGCCUCAAGUGAUCCGCCUGCCUUGGCCUCCCACAGUGCUAGGAUUACAGGCAUGAGCCACUGCGCCCCGCCUGCAGGUAUUCUUUUAAAGGAUGAUUGCAACCAUUUAACUAGUUUUUGGUUUCUGAUACCAAAUUUAAAAAUCUCUAUCUUCUACAUGUCAUGAAUACCGUCAUGCCUCUAUUAAAUUAGGCGUUGUGUUCUGAUGACCAGAGGCGGAAAUAAUAUGGAAGGCCUAUAUACAGGCCUUUUAAACAUACUUUUUAGGCCUCUUUUCCAUCUCUUAUUCAAUUAUUUGAGCUAUUUCUUCUGGUAUUUAUAUAUUUCCAAAUAAUGUAUGACUAUUUCCUAUUAAGGAAGCUAUCCUUCUCAUAAUCUGGUUAAAUCAUUAAUGUUUACGCUAAUGAGACCAUGUAUUUAUUAUUCAUUGUUGAGACAAAUCGUAUACAAUUUCCCAUCUUGUAUGGCUUUUGGUUUUCCUUGGAGUUUUAAUAAUUAUCCUCUUUCUUUGCUUAUUUUAUUAUGGAUCUAUCACAAUGUCCUCUUAGUUUUUCUAAAACGAUAAAAUGCUUUCAAUACAACUCCAUAUAAUCAAACCCAUCAGAUAAUCCAUCGUGUGUGUAUGUGUGUGUGUGUGUGUGUGUGUGUGUGUGUGUGUGUGUGUAUCUGUACUUUUUUCUUAGAGUCAUUGGUCCGCAGUUCCAAUGACUGUUUGGGAAGCUUGCUUCUCUGUCUUGGGUCUUCC